UACGCCCGAGCAGGGAAAAAAAAAAAAAAAAAAAAAAAAAAAAAAAAA
rnacentral:ribozyme from 13 species